GCAUGGAAGGAUGUCUAAAAGCGAACAGGAAUCUACCUCGAAAAGACGCAAACCACCUUAGUCAAGAUUCAUUUAUACUCGGGCCCGUAUAAUGGUUCAUUCGGCUAUUUACAAUUGUGUGUGUAUCUACCGGUGCACUCGUCGAAGCGGUUCAAAUGCCACGCGCCAUCUUUUUUCACUUUUAUCAUUCGCUUCGCACGCGCACCGUACAUCUUCGAAGUUUUACAUUUUGGUAGUUUUCCAUUUUGUUUCUUGUUUGACAGAUACGUAUUUCGACCUCAACGCUGAUCUUCGUUGUGAUGAACCAGGGCAAGGGAAGCAAAACCCUUGGGACGAUACUUAAGGCAAGAAACUCCAGCAGAUUAUCGUUGAGAUAACCCCCAUCCUCCGUUCACUGGGCGGGUAGUGAAACCCGGGGGCAAUACUAAAAAUUCGCAUUUGGGACACACUACGUCAGCAUAUUAUGGUGCAACUCCGGGAGGAAAAUACCAUGCAGUCAUCAAAACCGAUGCGAACACUCGAUCGUGACCCAAGCGACAGUGCAAUAGAGAUAAUCACAUCGGUUUCAAAACAUCGGGAUGGGAAGACAUCCUCCAGCGCAACCCCAUCGAUGAAGACGGCAACUCCGCAUCUCAUACCAUUCUGGCCAAUAGGGGCACCACCUCUCUUCUGACAUCAGGCGAUAUCAGCUGGAAACACCCGCCGUUGGGAAAAAGAAACCAACGAACGGAACCUAUAACCGACUGCAUUGUGGCAAAUCAAGGAACAUUCCAUGGAACGAUGCACAUGUCCAGUUUUUCCCAAGCCGAUUAACUCUUUUUAUGUACCAUGGUUGGAUAUUCCUAAUAAAUAUUAUUGGUU